UGUCUUCUCUUCUUCUUCUUCUGUAUUUCUAUCUCUCCACUUCACAAAAGCUCCCACCAACAAUUAGUCAACUUUUCAACCUCCCAAAAGAAGUUGCAGCUUUUAGGCUCAGACUUCUAUGCUAAUAUGAAAUAGAGAGUUGGGUGUUCUUUAGAUUUUGGAGAAGUGGGGGGUAUUUACUAUUUUUGUGAGGGUAUAUAGUGUUGUUUGGUUAAAAGGGGUUGUAAUGGAAGGAG